AUGACCCAUAGGAUGAAGAGUAACCUACUGCAGAAUGAACUCAAGGUACAACCUGGCUUUUGGAACAUAUGUACAUCCAGCCUCAGCAGACUAACAGCUAAGCAGAGAAAAGAAUGCAUACGAUUGAAAAUAUAUGAGAAAACUGAAAGAAGCAGGAGGUGGAGAGAGACGGAACAGAAUAGCUGUUGUCUAGAAAAGAGCAGAUGGUUCUCAGUCGACAUAUUGCAGAUCCAAACUGGGCUCUGGCUACAGAGCAUUGCCUGCAACCCUCCGCUGUCUAUGAUUCUGAGGUCACUUCUGGACAGAAUGAAAGCCUUUGUCACGGGGGUGACUUUGAGUGGAGUGGAUACUCUCAUGAGAAAAAUGCCCACAGUAUUGAACACAAAAUGUACCCUAACUGGUAUCAUGUCUGUGUCACAGAAGUUACCACAGGCAAGAACGAGGUAUGAGUCCUGAAAAUGGCAACUCCUGAACCCAGAGGAGAGAUUUGCCUUCUUUCCCUAAAUGGUUUCUCCUUCUGUAAGCUCUCAAAGUGGAUACAGUCCCUUGCUACUAGCACAGCCCCCAAUUCCAGUGUCACCAACAGCUUCGCUGAAGGGAGGGAGCGGCCGUGAAGGUCUGGGAGGGGGAAGCAGGAGGAAGAGGGAGUCUUACUCAACAUCUCCUUCCAGAACUUUCCUCCUACUGCAGGCACGGCAAAUAGGAGUAUCCCCCUCUGCCUAUUUGCCACCCGUCAUUCUACUUUCCCUGCCCUGCAAAAAGUCCAGAAGGUCAUCAAGCAUAUCAUCCAUCAUGGCAUUUUGACAGAAUACCCUCCACCCUGCUGAGGGAAGACACAGGGUCACUAAGGGCUUUCAACACAGAGGAGAUUAUAUAUGAGCCAAAUGACUCCUCCUGGCCAUGAGGGAAAUUGAUAUUGAAAUGGAUUUCCUAGAGUUUGUUGCAGGAUCGUCCAGCCUGGACACCUUGAAGAAGAGAAUUAAUACCCCCAUGUCUAAGGCUAGAUGGGGGAGGCGAGGACAAAGGUAAACACCCUAGCCCCCAAAGUUUCUUUCCACUUUAAUUUUUUUUUUUUUUUUUUUUGUCUUUUGUCUUUUUGUUGUUGUUGUUGUUGCUAUUUCUUCGGCCGCUCCCGCGGCACAUGGAGGUUCCCAGGCUAGGGGUUGAAUCGGAGCUGUAGCCACCAGCCUACGCCAGAGCCACAGCAACAUGGGAUCCAAGCCGCGUCUGCAACCUACACCACAGCUCACGGCAACGCCGGAUCGUUAACCCACUGAGCAAGGGCAGGGACCGAACCCGCAACCUCAUGGUUCCUAGUCGGAUUCGUUAACCACUGCGCCACGACGGGAACUCCUCUUUCCACUUUAGACCUCUAUUAAACAUCUCUUAGACAUCAGUCACAAGGGCUUUUGAGAAAGUGUUAGAUAUGAAGUGAAACAAACUGCUGAUCAUUUACCUGCACUUAGAUCACCUUUGGGUAUAUAUCAUUUGUUGAUAAGAAAUAGCAAAAUUAAUGGAAAUUGUCUACUGAAGAGAAAUGGCUACGUACCUCUCUGCUCCCUGUAGGCGUUUAUGAGCGGGAGAAUCAGUUACCAGAAAGCCUGCCAGGGAAAAUAAAGUUAAGGGACAAAAAUAAGAAGAUAUGAUCUCUAAGUCAGUGACCCCACUUUAUCCCCUUCUAAACAACCACAGCCGCCCUCAACAUUUCUAUCGACUUCAGUGAAAAUGUGAAUUGGGCCCCUAGUUCCCAUUGAUUAAUCACAGUGAGAGACAAAUCAGCCAAGAACCCAAUUGAAUUAAAAGGCUUCUAUAUUUGCUGAACCAGAUAAAUAAAACCUAGGAACAAUCCUUUAACACAGACAGUUAUGACUCAGUUGUGAACACUCAGCACAAAACGAUCCUGCGACUAUGGGGAAAAAUGACAGGUAUCAUUAUCGUUACCAUCAUUAGUUACUAUUAUUACCACAUUUUAUAAAAAGCUCAUGGUAAAAAAUAGAUGUACUGCUGUCAAACUGAUCUCGAGAAUUUGCAAUAUAAUUAGAGGGAAAAAUCAGGCUUCCAGUAUUGGGCUUCUGUUAAAUUAAUGUUUAAUACAUUCGGCUAACAUAAUUCUUUGGCCUAUAACUGUAACCAAAAGGCUAAAGGGACUCCUGCAUUUUCAGAGAAGGAAAAGGAGAUUAAAAAAAAAAAAAAAAAAAAGGAUGCUGCAGCAAAAGAAAUACCAUUCUGGCUGAUAAUUAUCUAUCACACAAUACGGUAACUCUCAAUUAACUUGGUCACAGUUUAAUUAAAACCUAAGUUUUCUUUGAUCGGAUCUCCAGGAAGCUAGUAAUUUGCAUUUACAUUGUGCUUAGGCUGCGUAUUUUGUUCCCCCCCAGUUGUUAUUACCGGGUAAUUCAAUAAUGAUUGCUUGAGACUAGGCUCUGAUAGUAACAGAAUUUAUCACUUCACUAUGGAAUGACCUCUGCUCCAGCUCCUUAGAUUCUUUAACUUGUUUUAUUCAUGAGGCGCUCUUUUUCCGGGAGGCCAAAUACAGUUAUCAAUGGCAAAGGAUGGCGCCUGUCUUUAGAUAGCUCAUAAGUUAGUGGUCCUACAAAGGGUUAUUACAUUGCAUUGUACAUUCUGCACUGAGUGUAUCAGGAAACAAAUGAAAGGCAAGAUACUUGUCCUAUCCCUGAGCGACUCUGAGAUCUGGUGUAGGAAGGCAUGCAGCUGUUUCAACCCCUCACAAGGGCCUCCCAGCCAGUCUUGCUUCCUCCAGCCUCUGCUCCCUGCCACAGAUCCAUCUGAUGCUCUUCCAUCUGAUCAAUCUUCCUGAGACCACUCUAAUGCUGUUACUCUCCCCAGGAUGACUGAGUCCAAAUUCUUCAAUCCUCAGAAUCUACAAAUCAUCAUCCCAGUUACAUAAAUCUCUUCUCCCAUCUCCCCUUCAACACCCCAUGAUGAUGCUGGCUCCUGCCUUUGUCCCCACCUGAGCCAACAGCUCCUCCUCCUUUGUUUAGUUCUGUGCUAUCUAUACUUCAAGUUUUCAAGCUCUCCUCCUUUGCAAACUUGUCAGAAAUCCUUGCUUGCUCACUCUCUCUCCCUUUCCCAUGCUUGGGACUUUCUGCAUUGGCAGAGACUCAUUUAGCAAUCAAUCUGCCAAAUUAAAUCAUUGGUUUCCUGUGCAGAGGCUAGAAUUUACACCUUCUUGAUAUUCCAGGGCCCUAUCCCAGCACUAUUUUCCCCUACCUAGCACUCCUCAAUGAAGGAGAGUAAAUCAUGAUGGAUGAUGAUAAAAAUGGUAGAUUAUUGAUGAUGUGAUGCCUGAAAACAUUCUUAAUAUGUUAGCACAUACAGCCAUUAUAUUUAAAACCUAUUUAUGUCUUGCUUCUCCCAACUAUACUGUAUUUUCUCUGAGAAGCUAGACCCUGUUUUCUACUUUUUUGUGUUUUAUUCCAAGUUUUUACUGUGCAAACUGUAGAAAUGUACUAAAUAAUUGCUGGUUUAAUUUAAUUAACUGGGUGCAGCUGACACAGCUAUCUACAAGAUGAAAUACAAAUAUCUGUGUCACUGCUAAAGAUA
rnacentral:lncRNA from 9 species